rnacentral:rRNA from 1 species
UACGUAGGGUGCGAGCGUUGCCCGGAUUUAUUGGGCGUAAAGGGCGCGCAGGCGGCUACGCACGUCCGUUGUGAAAUCGCUCGGCUCAACUGGGCGGGUCAGCGGAUACGGCGUAGCUGGAGCAAGCUAGGGGCAAUGGAAUUCCCGGUGUAGUGGUGGAAUGCGUAGAUAGUCGGGAGGAACACCAGUGGCGAAGGCGGUUGCCUGGAGCUUUGCUGACGCUGAGGCGCGAAAGCGUGGGGAGCGAGUCCGG